AACAGCACGGACUUUGGAGCACAGCCAACAUGCCAGGAACAAAAGGUAAUAAAUCGGACAAGAAGUCAACUACCAAGCAACCUCAGAGUCCUAAGGAGCAGCCGAAGAAAGGUGAUCAGAAAGGAGAUGAUAACAAGAAGCAAGGAGGACAGCCGAAGGGAGAGAAGCAAUAACUUCCAGGCAUUUGUGAAGAUGGCUUUGGAGACACUGCUGGGGUCCUGCCGUCGUAAGCACGGGGGUCCCCGAGGCAGGCAGGGC